rnacentral:rRNA from 1 species
GGGGCUUGACGUGUACUGGAAGUGCGUAGAGAUACGUUCCGCCCUUCGGGGCUAGUACAUCAGGUGCUGCACGGCUGUCGUCAGCUCGUGUCGUGAGAUGUUGGGUUAAGUCCUCUAACGAGCGCAACCCCUGUCCACAGUUGCCAUCAGGUAAUGCUGGGAGCUCUGCGGAGACUGCUGGUGAUAAACCGGAGGAAGGUGGGGACGACGUCAAGUCAUCGUGGCCCUUAUGUCCCGGGCUGCAAACGUGCUACAAUGGCUGGUACAAAGGGAAGCAAUGCCGCGAGGUGGAGCAAAUCUCAUAAAACCAGCCUCAGUUCGGAUUGUAGUCUGCAACUCGACUGCAUGAAGU